rnacentral:lncRNA from 1 species
GUUGAAUGUCUUAGGAUUAUUAACAAAUCCUGGAGGCACAAUAUAAAGAAAAGUACUGAAAACGGAUGACUUGAGUUAAAUUCUAAGCUUCUAUAUUUGCUUCUUGUAUGGCGUAGCUGAUUUUUUAGCUUCAAGCUUAUGAUAGGUUACCGUGCAAAUCCUACAACAUCACACAUGAACAUUCUUUGAAAACUGUAAGAACUAAAGGAAUAUUUUACUAGGACUAUAAUCAACGUCAGGAAACCCUGAGUCCAGCUCCAUGUCCUCCAAUCCUAUCUGUUUGCUUAGCUCCCGCUCCACCCGCCUCCCUGGUUCUCGCCCGGCCUCGGGGUCUUCCACUUUCCUGUCUCUAGGCCCAGAAUCCCACCACGCACGGUCAUUCUGGGCUCCCGGGCUAAGCAGUUUCUGGCCCGCACAGGGACGGCCAGCUGGCGAGGUGAGUGGGAGCCAAACUCCAGCCCUGUCCACUCCCCCAUCGUCUGCCCGGGCGCGGGAUGGCACCUGCCUGGAGAGGAGGGCACCUUUCCCUUCACGAAGAGACCCUGUCUGCUCACCACGCCACAGGCCACUAGGAUCCACGCUUUCCAAAGGAACACUUUUCUAGUAGAUCAGCGUAAGGGAGGAGCUUUCAAAAAACCUCUGUAUUUCCGGGGUGGGGGUGGGGGUCCAAUAUGCAUAAAAGCACCCAACACACAGAAGUCUGACGUCCUCAUUCCUCCAGGCCUCUGUGCAGCACCUGUCCGCUUCGCUGCGAGGGCUCCUUCUCAGUGCCCAGCUGAAAACAGUGGUCCCUCCCAUCCCUGUCCCCCAUCGCCCUUUGUUUUUAGCGCCUACCUGCACCCCCCCCCCCCCCCACACGUGGCUCCACAAGGGCAGGGACUCUGUCUCCUUUGUGCUGCGCUCCCAAGACCCAGAACAGUAUCAGGCACGCGGUGGCGGUCAGCACAUUGGUGAGUGCAGGAAUGAAAUCAAUCUAGUUCAGAGAAACCACAAACUUCUGCACACUGAUGGCCCUUCUGGGAGCACAGGCCUCACAGCCUCAGAGAUGCACAACUGUAACAGGUUUGCACAGGUGUCUCACUUCUUUCCAGGGGACUGCCUGCUGCCAUGAGGGGCUCACAAGGACAAAUCCCUGAGCUGGGUGGCAGCAGUCAGGAAGGUUAGGAGGCCUCACCUUCCCAACUACAAAAGCAUCCCUUUGGUAAUCCAGGAAAGGGAUUUCUGACUCACAAAGGUUAAAGUAGAUCUACCUGAUAAGGACGCAGUAGGGACUCCCUCCAUCCCACGGACCACCACCCCAGAUGUUACAUAUAAACAUGCUCUCGGAGAUCCAGUAAUUAUUUUAGUCAGUUUUUAGUCAUCAGUAACAGAGGAAGGAGAAGCUCACAUGACCGACCCACUGGUUGUGAGAACGUGCUCCUGUUCCUCACCCUGUUGAGAAAAUCCAUUACUUUCCCAAUCAGUCAUGGAACCAAAAGGAGAGAAUGGCUCAUUAGAGUCAGCGAUAUUAUUCAUUGACUUUAGGAUGCUUCCUGCCUUGAAAAAGAUGAAUGGCAUUGCAUGGGUCCCAUUAACAGGUGGUCAGGAAUACAGGUAAUUCCCCGAGAAUAAUCAGUGACAACUGUUUAUACACAUACACUCGACUCCUAUACAUGAUUUUAGGGGUAUCUUCAUAAAUAGAUUAGGUAAGAUGUGGGGAAUAAGGGCACUGUCAUAUAUUUAUAUGCAUAUUUUAUUAUGUAGGUGCCUCACAGAAAAUUUGACUUUCAAUAGUCAGAAACACAUUCAACUCUUCUAACUGCAUCAAAUAGUUUCUGAUGAAGGCAUGGCAUACACAGAGUCAGAACUGUGAAGAAAAUUUUAAAUUUUGUAUUAACCACUGCCCCAAUUUUUUUACAGCAAUGUUGGGGAAAAAGCCAAACUAGGUCAAUUUUCAGCUUUUUUAAAAAAAGAGGAGUUCCAUAAUUUACCUUGGAAGCUGGAAAAAAGAAAGAUGCUUUGCAGAACUUUAAGGGCUACCUUCAUUUUACACGACAACUAACUAGAAGGCAAAUUAGUGCUCUCUCUGAUGUCAUCGAGUUAACCAGUGUCAGACUCCUGGAACUCAGAUUUCCACUUCUCUCCAGCUUCUCUCACCACAUCAUAGAUCUUGCUCACAUUAUUUCUUCACUAGGGGUCAUAAGUUUUUUGAAAAAUUUAUUUUGAAGACUUACACUUCACACUUGAGAAUCAAAUUUAAGAGAGACUUCUAACAGGAGAUCGACUCAACAAAUCUCACAUAUUCAUACAAAAAAUUAUACUCCUAUAAAAGCACUCAUAAUUCUUUUGCAUCUAUGUUCUCGCAUCACUCAGAUCUUACAAGUCUUAUCUCAGAUGAACACAAGUCUUCUAAAAUCUUACCAUAGAUAGUGGAGCACAGAGGAAGCCACACAGUCAAUCCACCUACACACACAGGGCUCCAGCCUCAAUGGAGUUCCAGCCAUCAAUGUUUAGAGCUUCUGAGAACAUCACUCGACUACCACUCAACUAACUCUCAGUCUACCGUAAUAGUCUUUUACCCAUUUCCCUGGCCCCUCUCUCUCCCUGAAGUGUAUUUUUUUUAAAUACCCACACCAAGUUCUAUUUCCCUCCCUUUACUCUAAGGGAGAAAAAUUUCCAUCUGUUCAAGGUCAGUUGUUUCGACAAUUAAUCUGUCACCUGAGACUUGCUCCAUCAGUUAUUACACGGCUCUUUAUAAAUAAUAAACAUCCCCCUCUGUACCAGCUGCUUCCAACUGGUUUAUAAAUAUAUUCCAUACUUAAAAAUAUUUUUUAUAUUAAAAAAAAUUCCAUGGCCAUUCUGGCCGAGGGACAAAGUUUUUGUGCUUGCAAGAGGUAAGAGAUGUAGUACCAAGGUCUGUCCCAAACUUCUUAGCUGUGUGACCUUGGUAAAUUCUCUCUAAAGAUCGGUUCUAUUUGGUUCCCUUAUCUGCACCAUAGAGCAAUACUUAUUACUUUAUAAGAUCAAAUGAGGCAAUGCAUGUAAAGCAUGUAUCAUUGUGCCUGGCAUUGAAAAAUGUUAUGUUUUCAAUUCAUAAUAUAAUAAUUAUUUGUGCUAUUUAAAGGUAUUAAUAUAAAAUGAAAAAAAAAAAAAAAA